rnacentral:rRNA from 1 species
GACGAACGCUGGCGGCGUGCUUAACACAUGCGAGUCGAACGGAAAGGCCCUGCUUUUGUGGGGUGCUCGAGUAGCGAACGGGUUAGUAACACGUGAGUAACCUGCCCUUGACUUUGGGAUAACUUCAGGAAACUGGGGCUAAUACCGGAUAGGAGCUCCUGCUGCAUGGUGGGGGUUGGAAAGUUUCGGCGGUUGGGGAUGGACUCGCGGCUUAUCAGCUUGUUGGUGGGGUAGUGGCUUACCAAGGCUUUGACGGGUAGCCGGCCUGAGAGGGUGACCGGCCACAUUGGGACUGAGAUACGGCCCAGACUCCUACGGGAGGCAGCAGUGGGGAAUAUUGCACAAUGGGCGGAAGCCUGAUGCAGCAACGCCGCGUGCGGGAUGACGGCCUUCGGGUUGUAAACCGCUUUCGCCUGUGACGAAGCGUGAGUGACGGUAAUGGGUAAAGAAGCACCGGCUAACUACGUG